GCAGGCUUACAGAAGAACACAAUCAGAAAUAAUAACACCAACCUGAUAUUAUAAUUUGUCUUUCCUGGAGGGAGGUUCCAGGUACUAGAGCGGAGGGAAAUGAAAAGGAGGACCACAUAUUCUCAGUGCAAUUCCGACCUGGGCUUCUGUUUCAUCCAUAGCCUCCUAAGAUUAAUAAGAUAUCUUCCACUGUUUUGAUAACAGAGUGCUCUUUUCCUCCCUGCUCAUGACUGUAUGAAAUGAAACAGGAAGAGGUAUUUGGCUAAUCUCCUUCUAAAAGGAUCAGUGCAAGGUUUCUUUUAAUGCUUGAGUGAUGAGGAAUUCUUGAAUGAUGUCCACUGAUGUGCCACUUGUCUUUUGUUCAGUGUCCUUUUGUUCCUCUUCUUUCUUCUGAUUCCCUAGUGCUUUCUCUCACAGCAGAUAUCUCUUUUUUCCCCCAAGUGUUGGAUCUCUUUCCUAAGAGGAAAUUUCUGUCAUAGGACUGUUUUCCUUACUCUUGCUGUGCGGUGACAUGCUGCAAUCCCAUGUCAUGAUGCAUAGGAAGACUUUCCGGACACAAGUUAGGACAGGGCAACAGCACAAAACUCUACCCGCAAUAUUUACUUGCUACAGAAAAAAAGGUCAAGGACACCAGAGAUUAAAGCACUGAUAAAGACAUGUGCCUCUGGGAAAUGACAGGGUCUUGGCAGGCUGGACAUAACAAUACACACUUUGCUUCUAAAGUUCCCCUGGUUACAAUUUACACUUCAUGCACUACACCCGAGUAAGGAGAUUUCACAGCCCUAAGAGAAUUCUGCACAGGAAUUCUCUGAUUCCUGACAUGUUUGCUUUUUUGUAUUUUUGUGUUUGCUUUUUAUUUAAUUUAUUUUUUAAAUACAUACAAUGACCAAGAUUGGCAUUAUUUCUACAAUAAUACAAAAACAUUAAUAGGGUUACAAAAUAGUUUUUCCGAUAGGUAUAUCAUCAAUCCUGGACAAAAAAAAUCCUUGAUUUUCCUAAUGUUUGUUAUCCCUCUUUUUAUACAAAUAAAUUAAACACACAAAAAAAAACCACCGGGAACUAAUUCCUUCAACUCCUAAAGAAAAUACACUGCAUUCCAUUGUCCAUUCAAUAAACACCUUUUUUCAAUUCAAUAAAAGUCUGAUCGUGUGGGUUUGACGUAUUCAUUCCAUGUAUUCCAAAUCAGAAAAAAAACUUCUAUCUACUUACCAUGGACUUUCAUGAUAUACCUGUGUUUCCUAUACAAGCUUUAGCUUUGAAGAAUGAGAAACAGAAAGCAAAUAAGUAAGCUAAUGUACAAACCCAGAGAAUGUGGACAGGACAAAAGAAAAAGGAAGGAAGGAACUGUCACAGUCAUGGAGAAAAAGCUAAUGCUAAUCUCUACAAUCCUCCAUCGCCCUCUGCUAUUUCAAAAAGUCUUAAAAUAAGACAUUUGUCUUCCUCUCCAGACUAACCGUCUGUGUUAGGAAUUAUUUAUCUUUUUCUUCCCAUACCUUUUAUAGCACCGGCAUCUCGAUCUUAUAGCCAAGUUAUGUAAAACAAGCCUGCAUGAGAUCUGAGGAUACUGUGCAUGGUGCCAGUCCGACAAAAGUAGCCGUGACAGCAUUGAAUCCUUUGCCUCUUAUGGAAAUAUGAAGCCACAUGAUCUUGACAAAGCCUGAAGAGAGAGGUGGCAACUUGAAGUGGUGAUUUAGAGGUCUAUUGCUUUCCGGCCUAUGACUACCUCACAGCCCAUUUAUCUUCUGCUGUUUAACGGUUAACAUUCCUGAAAGGCUUUUGGAUUGUAAACCAACUCUGCCAUGCAAACCUCAACGUGUCAGACUGUUCCCCUGCAGCCCUUACUGCUGACAGUUGUAGUAGUUGAUUUAGAUGGUCAUAAAAUUAAACUGCUGUUUAAUGCUGGUUUACAGUGUAUCCGUCCUAAUAGGCCUGGGAUCAACUUCACCCCAAAUUAUAGUUUAACAUCACUUAAAUGUAAUUAGAAUUGUCAUCCAGAGGCCUUUUUACAUUCCCUAAUUUGCCUCUUAUUUUAAAGCAUUUCAUUUUCCAGAGCUGCUUUUUAGAUACAAUUGUAGGGUAUGAUUAAUUGAAUUCUGUAGGUACAUGAAGGCUUCUGUUGGUACAUGAAUCUACAGUGAUUAUAUAAUCCUAUAGACUAUGGGGCGUCUUUGAAAAGUUUCUCCAACAUACAACUGCAACUGAAAAUAAAAACAACCUUUUUAUUAGCUCACCUUGGAGAAGGACGUAGUAAAAAGUCUGCAAGUGUGAUUUUCAUGUUCAAUCUUACAAAGCAAGACAAAGACUUACGAUAGACAAGUAUGCCAUUCGUUCAGUAAACUAUUUCCUUUUCGGUUCUUCACUCACCACUCUUGUGCUUCUGUGCUUAAGCAUCUUACUUUAGCUUCACUGUAAAGAUCAUCAUUCUGACAUUUUCCUGUACUUUAGAAAACAGUCAUGUAUCACGUUAUCCCCCCCCCCCCCCCCCCCCCCAAAAGGUCUCCUUCUUAAUUAAGAGAAAUAUCCAGUUGUCCCUUAUAACAUACCCAUUUCCAAAAUGCUUGUGCUCUGAUUAAAUUGUCAGGGUUAAAUUUAAUAUAACUUUAAACAAACGAAUUAAUCUUCACCGCUGUGGAAAUGGAUGUGGAUUCUAAAUAACCUUUCAUUGGUAGGUUUAUACACUUUUACAGUGGAAGAGUGUAAGGUUUGACAUAUUGUCUGUAGACCAUUCCAUUGUUCAAGUUUUUUUUUACAUACUUUUCAGGUGUUGCUAAGUGUUCCACGAACAGCUUUAAAUAGACACCACAUCACUUUUGUGAAAAGACUGAUUUGCUGGUAUGUUUCUAGUUGAAGCUACAAGGAAGUUGGCAAAGGCAAACUGAAGGGCUGGACCUUAACUGCAGUCAUACAAUAAAAUGACGUCAAUGCACGAGGCAGAGCAUCGUGUCUUUAGUAAGACAUUCUUCUUUGAACAUAUGAAGAAUUAAUUAAACUGACAUCAGUGCAAUGCUAUUAACUGAAUGAUGCAAAGUGGAAUUCACAACAUAUAGGAAUGAUUUAAAACCCUAAACCAAAUGACAAUUUAAUAAGCUAUUUCCUGGGAGGUGGUUAUACACCACUUGCCAUGCUUCUGUGCCAUGCAAGUUUACAUUGCUUAAAAUACUGCUGUACUUCAGUCAUGCGUCACUUCUCAUGUGCGUAGUCAGUGGCAUGUCUCAAACAAUAUCCCUCUCUAAAUAAAGCACACGAAUAUGUCAAAAUCCCCUCAUAACAUUCUCUCAGCCAUUGUAUUUCUAUAUGACCCACCUAUUCACUAAAUAUAAAUCCUAACUAACUUUCUGAUUAUACUGCCUAUUAGAAUUUAUUAGCAGAAGCAGUACUGUAAUAAAAUAAAAUAAUUAAUUGUCACCUAGAAGUGUUUGUUUAAAAUAAAAAAAAUGCCUUGGUGUCUGCUGAUAAUUUUUUCAGGUCAAAAGGCAGGUGAGAAUAAUAGAAUGAAUGUUUAAUGGGUUUUCAGUGGAAAUCAGACUACAGAUUAAGAGCAUUGCUAGCCACAGCAGUGCUGACCUGAAGACUGUUGCUUUUAGACCAGGGUUCAUCUAUUACAAUCUUGGAAGACAUUUGCAUUGUUUAGUAUUUCAUCAUCUUUUUUUUAAGAACUAGAGCACUGGCGUGUGAACACUGACUAUGAAUGUUAAAAAAAAAAAAAAGUCCACCCUUGUACAUAGUAGUUGUUGCCAGAGCACGUUGCUUUUCUAAUCAUUUAGAAUAUAGUAACAAGGAAGUUGGCAACAAUAACUUAAAGGGUUGGACCUUACCUCCAGUGUUACAAUGAUACGUCAAUGCACGUAGGUAGAGCAGUGGUUGGGAUCUUUUACCAAACAUUUGGAUUUCAAGCUCUGAAGAAUUCACUUAAAUGAAGGAAGAAAAUGAAGGACGCAGGCUGCAGGUCGACAGGAGUGAUAAAUAAUCACAAAGAUUUUAUUGCAAAAUCAUUGGAGAGUUUUGUUGGCCAUGAGCACCAAACUCAUCUAAAGAACCAAAUACCUCGACCACAUAACCAUGUUCAUAGAGUGCGCUCGAAAGAUGUGGAUGAAGUUUUUGGAAAAACAAACCCCUGACCUAAACAAGAAUGCUGUAUGACUGGAAUUCCUGAAACUCUGCAAUAGCGGUGUGCUUCACUGGCACAGUGACUUAAGCUUCUAGAAGAAACAGGCCAAAAAUGUCUUAAAUAUGUAAUGAAAUUAUAUAUAUACACAUCAUAAUGGGAGGAUACAGCUUUAUGGACAACUCAAAACAAUUGAUGUGUAGGCCACACUGGAUUUUACCUCCAUGGAACACUUAACAGCUUAUACACAUCGAGCAAACCAAGGAUUGUUGAUGCCUUUAGGGAACCUUUGGAAUGAUAUCAUGUUCCAGUUAAACUUUAAGGGACCUUUUGACAGAAAACAUCAACUGGGUGAAGUGGUACAAAACGAGGAGACUUAAUCACAGCACUUUUCGUUUUGCUGUAAACCUGCUGUAAAAUGUCUCCUGAGGAAGAAGAGCCAAUAACUUGUUGACUCUAAAUGAAAAAUAUGUAUCCAUGCACACCAUGUCAUUAGAACGGUUCUCAGUCACUGAUGAGAAACUUGUGUCAUGCAAUCACAAAUGCCUCCAAGUAACUAUAUACGUUAUAUGAGUGAGUAGCCAAAUAUAAUGAAUUACUGAGUGAUGCUUUUACAUUUAACAGGAUAAUAUAACCAAACAUGCGUUUUAGCAGUUUCUUAAACUAUGCCUUUGGCAUAAUAACCAGCACCGAUCUUUGGACAAUGUACUUUGGACAAGCCACGCAACUCUUAAAGGAUAACAUGACACGGCCUACAUCUGAGCAGUGCUGAGACAACGCCAAGUACCAUUGUGUACGUUUUAUGUACAGUGCUUAUUUUUAAUUCUAUUCAUGAAUUUUCUUUAUUAAUAUUUACAUUAGAAUUUAUUGUUAAUAUUAUAUAGAUUUUGGUUUUAAUCCCUUGGGAUUCUGUUGUUUCUACUGGACAAAUUGCAUUUUAGCAUUAAAUAUAUAUAAUAUAUUAGCAUACAGUAUAUGUAUGUGUCUUUAUACAUGCCUGUAAUUCAAUUAAUGUGAAGAAUAUGAGACAAAAUGAUUGUGCAGGGGACUAGUGGAAAUUAAAAAAAUAAAAUAAAAUCAUAUAAUAAAAAAAAUAUUGUUGCAUUGUAACUGAUCCCAUUGACUCCCUUUUUCAUACUUGCAUUAUUCCUUUUCCUGUGAUCCAUGCAAAUUCUUGCAUAUGUCUAAUUCUCUCUUUUGAUUUAUCUUGCAUUUAUGAAGUAUCCUGUUUCAUAGUGUGCCUAAUUUGUGCUAGCAUGCUUACAUAGCGUAUUUCUAAUUUUCUCCGCUUUUCAUCUCUGCUUGCCUGCUCAUGGAUAUAGUUGAAGAUUCGCCUGUGCUAACCCUGACUAACUGUUCUCUGACCCCUGACCACCAUCAAGAAGGAACAGCUAUAGAAGUUGCUCUAGGCUGGGAGGGGUUCCAGGCUCUGGAUGUAAUGCAAGGUGGGCUUGAAUAUGACCAUCAUUUUUAGAGAAAUCUGGAAAAAAUAAAAUAUAUUAAAAUUGGAGUGGGGGACAGUGGCUUAGUGGUUAGCAUGUUUUCCUCACACCACCAGGGUUGGGGAUUCACUUCCCACCUCUGCCCUGUGUGUGUGCGGAGCCUGCAUGCUCUCCCUGUGCCUCGGGGGCUUCCUCCGGGUACUCCAGUUUCCUCCCCCAGCCCAAAGACAUGCAUUGUAGGCUGACUGGCAUAUUAAAAUUGUCCGUAGUGUGUGAAUGGGUUUGUGAGUGUGCGUGUGAUUGUGCCCUGUGAUGGAUUGCUACCCCGUCCUGGGUGUCCCUACACCUUGUGCCCUGGGAUAGGCUCUAGGUUCCCCGUGACCCUGUGUAGGAUAAGUGGUACAGAAAAUGGAUGGAUGGAGAUAUACUGUAUACAUAUGAUUUCCAACUCAGUUAUUACCUGAAGAUAUUUUUAUAAUUAUUUUUUAUAAUUCUAAGCUAUAUUUAUUAAAAUGGACACAUAAGAGCCCUUUGGAAAAAAAAAAGUUAAUUAGAGAAAUUCCAGAUGCUGGGGGAAAAAACACGUGAUAUUGCACCACUUUUAGUAAAAAAUGAAAAUAAAUCAUUUUGGCCUGAAUAGAACAUAAAGGGUAAGCAAAUAAGCCCAGAGGGGUAAGGGGAACAAUGAUUAUCAAAAUAAUAGCACUUAACUGUCAAUAGGCCUCUUGUCAGCCUUACAUGUUAAUCACACCAUCAUAAACGUGUCAACAUCAUGUCAUAUCAAAUUAAAUCUUACUAAGUACCUCCCAGUCCAUUUUUCGUAAAAAGAAAAUCAUGUCCUGUCAUCAUACGUUACCCUGCACAGAGAUGAUCAUAGCAUUUGUUUUUAAUGCUACAUUGCACAGCACUUUUCAGACCUCUCCUAAACUCCUAGACUGUUGAGUGACCUAUGUCCACAUUCAUUAGAGCAGCCAUAUAAUAUAAGAAGUGAACUUGACUAAAAGACCUCCACAUGGAGUAAAGUAUGAAAUACAAGGCUCCGGGAUGACCUUUAAUCGUUCUCAAGGGACGAAUAAGUGCAAAUAAGAGCAUAAUUCCUGUCAAGUCCCCACUUGUGUGAACUCUCACAGUCCAAACUCGAUCCUUCGUUCCCAGGCGACAAACCGAGUCAUGGUGUGCUAAAGGUGUUGAGUGGCUGUAACUAUCCAAAUAGGCUGGAACAAUCCGGUUUGGCUGCAAUGAAAUCUGGAGCUCCUGAUAAAAUUACAUAUAUGGACACAUAGUAUCAUUAAAAAGAGUGAGUUCACUUUAUCAUAUUCACAGACAGGCGCAUUGCCCCAGUAGAGCAGGAGAAGAGGUGUCGAGUCAUGUGUGAGUUCUGGAUCCAUAUAAAUGCCAAAAGUUGCUUUUUGUCAUUUAAGCACUGAAACAGCACAUGAAAACAUAAAAAAGUAACCAAUGGCUUUUCUUCAGUGAACAGGAAAUGAUGGCAUUUUGAUAUAGUCAGGAUGGAUAUUAUUAGCAUGACAGUGACAUAUUACAUGCUAUAAUAGACACGGUAUUCUUAUGACAUGCCCAGUUUUACCCACUAAGUCCCUCCAUUGUUUCAUGUACACACUGUCUGUACAACAGUCUUUGCAAAAGAUGGUCUGCAUUUGCAUCUGAAUUAACCUGAAUAGCAAUGGUUAAAAAAAAACAAAACAAAACAAAACCACAGAUGUUUCACAUGUGGCAAGAGGGGUUUAAUUUGCUCUGGCUUAGAGAUCUGUUUAUACUUUACAUAAAAUACAAAGACUCCCAUUUGUACACACAGAUUGUUGUACACACAGUGAAACAUUUGAACAUGCAAACAUUUGAACAAGUAAAACAACUACCUCUCCAAGCCAUAGCACGCUGAGGGAUGUGCUCUCGCUACCCAGGAAGAAUGGGAGGAUGCACUGUGCUGACGUAGUUCUGGCUUUGAUUAUCUGCUUGAUUUAAAUUCUUGAUCACACCCACUUAAGGCAAAAAUAAAAGAAAACAUUUGUUUUCCUGACGGUAGCUAUGACACAUGACAGAUAGUUUACUGUAUGUUGCAUUAGUGUUUAGAAUUUAAAGCAUUUAUAUUGGCAAUUUGUACAUGUAAAUCUCUAAGAGAGAGGAGAGUGUGACAAAUUAUGCAGCAAUAUACAACCCCAAAUUCCGAAAAAGUUGGGACAGUAUGGAAAAUGCAAAAAAAAAAAAAAAAAACAGUCAUUUGAGAAUUCAAUUCACCCUGUACGAUAUUUAAAACACAUUAUUAACACAUUAUUUGAUGUUUCACUUAUACAAAAUAUAUAAAAUAUACACUAAUUUCAAAUCUGAUGACUGCAACACACGCCAUAAAAGUUGGGACAGUCGACUGUUUACCGCUGUGUAACAUCACCUUUUGUAUUAAUAACACUUAUUAAGUGUUUGGGCGCUGAGUGAAUACACCAGUUGGUUAAGUUUAGCAAACGGAAUUUCCCCCCAUUCAUCUGUUUUUCAUUUCUUCAGCUAAGCAACUGUACAGGGCCUUUGUUGCUUUAUUUUGUGCUUCAUAAUUUUCAAUCGGAAACCGGUCAGGACUGCAGGCCGGACAUGCUAGAACCCGCACUCUCUGCUUACGCAACCAUGCACUUGUAAUCCGGGCAGAAUGUGGUUUGUCGUUGUCCUGCUCUGGAUGGGAGCAUAUGUUGCUCCAAAAUGUGUACAUAUCUUUCUGCAUUAAUGUUGCCGUCACAGAUGUGUAAGUUACCCAUGCCAUGGGCACUGACACACCGGCUUUUGGACCUGAUGCUGAUAAUCCACCGGCAAAUAAUCUGAUGUGAAUGGCAAAAACAAAACCUUAUAUCAGUCCCUCCAGGAUUUUACGAUCACAGAAAUUAACAGAAAAACAAGCUGUCUCUGCAAUAUUCGGAGGAGCAUGCAAUUUUUCAGAAUUACUGCAGAUUUUCAGCAGAUUUUGGCCAAGAUGUGUCAUGUGUGUCAUGUGACGUCAUGCAUUCAACCAAAGCCCUCUUCAAUUCAUGUGUGUCAAACAUGAGUACAGCUGAAAGGUCUCAUUUACCAACAAACAUCACCGUGAAAGACCAUGCAAAACAAUUUCACGCAAUUGCAAUUUCACCAAUUCAAGUAAAAAAUCUGCAAAUUGCAUCACAAAGAUUUUGAAAAAAGCUACAGAAAAUCAAGCAUUUUUGCCCACAAAAAUUCUGUGAAAUCCUGUACGGACUGUUAUAUGUGCGAAUGACAGGGGAGCUUAGCCCUGCUAGCCCAUUUAUACCAGCUGCCCCUGUACAUUUGAGAUUUCCCAAACUAUUUUUACAAACUAUAUUUACAUGGACAGAGCACAUUCUCUCUGAGAGCAGAAACACCCUGGCAUGCUAAUUUCACAUAAAACCACAGACACGCUCAUUUGAUUUUGCCUGGGCAUGACAACCAACAUGACAAAUAUGCCCUUAGGCAGUUAUUAUUGGGAACAAAUGCCAGAAAAGCAGUGCCAAAUGCAUAGCAUGGCAGAGGAAAAGAGUGGGUGAAGUAUUGCAAGGCAGACAAGUUUCAAGUGCCAGCUGCCUGACAGCGUACCUUUAGAGUCGGUCAUCAAAAUCCAUAUUAACUAGAACUACUAAUUAACACAGGUGAAAGCAGCUGUCAGUGUUAAACAUGUUAAAAGUAUCUCAGAUCAGUCCACUAUAAAUUACAUAUAUGCCUGAAUAUAAUGUGUUUGCACCAUCUCAAGCUCAAUUGGCUGCACAUUUCAUAAUUAUAUAGUUGUCACAAAUGAGCCUCCAUGCCCAUCUCUUGCAGAGCCAGUAUGGUAUGCUGUGGUUUUUAAAAGUGCUCUGCAUUCAGGCCUUUUAAUUACAGUAGAGUGGGUGUACAUGGUUUUGAUUCAGCCCUAGCUCUCUGUCAUCUAUCAUACUUCAUCAUGAAUGCAUUAAAGAAGAUUAUGAUGGGAAAGUCAUUUAUAUAGUACGUUUAGGGUGCCAUAUUUGGUCUGGCUAUGUUGAGUGAUGGUGAAAUGUAUAUAGUAUGCUACACUGAGCUUUUUUCUAGCACUGAGCUUUUUUGUUAAUGCUUCAAUCUGAAAUUGAUUUUUGGAUUUCUCUGAACAAAAUCCAUUGCUUCACUGGUAUAGUUGUUUGCGACAAUUGUAUUUAAAGAAGGUGAUUAAGAUUUGUUGAAAUUGUGCCAUGUUUUCACUAGAACUAUGUGGUAAAUGUUUAUAUACAAUUUUGUAGCUGCUUUCUCAUGAAGUUGGCCUGCCACUUGUAUUUGAUUUGUUUUUUGGAUGUCUUUACAAAGUUAGUGUUUGACACUCGUCUUGUGCUGUUGAGCAUAACUGCUGUGAGAAGAAGAAAGAAAUCCAGAUGCUGAAAACUAAUAUACUAGGUGAGCAUUAUUCAAUGCCAAGUUUGAUAUAUUUUUUUUAACAUAUAUUUCCAUGUCUCUUUUUAUAAAUCUUUACACAUUUCUCUCUUUAUACCCUCGGUUUCAUGAGCUAGUAGUACAAGUGCUAAAAGACCUCCCAGAAGCCACUGUUUUCUUUGACACAGACACGAAUCCAAUCUGGCAGCCAAGCCCUUAACUGAAGUCACACAUCUCAACAAGCAAAACCAUGCAGGCCUUAAGUGGCUGAUACAGGAGUGAAUGAAAUCUUAUAAGUAGUCAUAAAAGUGAAGAAAGAGGAGAAUUUAAUGGGGAAUAUUCCAUUAUGAUGCCAACACUUUUUAAAGGUUAAUCUUAGACAUAUUAUUUAAGGUUAAUCUUAGGUCAUAUUGAGGGGGCUUGGGUUAUUGCCUAAACUGACCGAACAUCUAAAGUGUCAUUUUUAUUUUACAAGCAAGAAAGCUGAUUCUGUUGUAUGAAAGCAGCAGCUGUUGCUUGGGGAUUGAAGUACAUUUUAAUUUUUCACUUAUCUACCCAUGUGGGCUUCAGAUUUCUGCAGUAGUCUCUAUAGCUGCCACACUAUUUGUGCAAUGAGGCUAAAUUAGCAACGUUUAUCAGGGAGUAGCAAGCCAGCCAGCACAAAUAUGUAGUUUCUCUGUGUAUGCUCUAACCUAUUGGUUUUGAUAGUGUUUCUCAGAAACACUACAGAAAAAAGAAAGAAAAAAAAAACUUUUUUAAGGCUAUGCUUCAUGGUCCAUUUGCAUCUUCAAAACAGCACUGUGACCAUUUUUGUACCCCAUUUUUAAAGAUAUCAUAGAUGAACACUGGGUGCAUCUUCUGUAAAUACAUGAUAUAUGGUAAUGUGUGUCCCACAAUGACUUCCGUAAUUACUAAUACUGGCAUUAUUCAUGAAUUGAGACCUGUUUAAUUCAUAACAUUGGCACACUCUUAUCCCAUAAAUAAGGCUGCCGUGUCUGAAGUCUGACUACGUAAUGACAUAUAGCACAGGCAGUGUGGGUGGUUCUGGAUUACAGAUUUCUUAAAAUGUCCAAGUCCCAAAGGUGGUCUGAAUUAUUGCUCUGUUUUGUAUGAGCCAUAUUCAUAAAUAGAGUACUUUAGCACAGCAUAUUAUAAAAUAGAAAUACAUUUUGUUACUGUGUAACAACCUUUCGCUGACUAGAAGGGAGAUUAUAAUAAUGCUAACAUAUGUGCUUCCCAGUGGAGUGCGGCCACCCUGCAGUCUAUGCCUCCACUAGAGGACCCUUAUGAGAGCAUGAUGUAUGAAAUCCUGAGAUAAGUUUUGUACAGAAUUUGGAAGUGGCUAUAUGCAAAACUGUCAAUAUUGUAGUGGUGCUUUACUAGGAAUGGUUUUCCCAGCACCUUUGCCAGAGAGAUUUACUGAAUGUUUAGAAACUGCUGAACUAUAGCGUCAAAUCCCUGAGAGUUACACGUUGAUAUAUGAACUUGUGAGAGACAAUGUUUCAGACAAGUGAUUAUUAGGCUAAAUUGUAGGGUGAGUUUGAAGGAGCUGCUUACUUCUAAUAUGUGUUAAGUCUGGCAUAUGUGCAUCCAGUUAUGUGUUUGUAAAGCACAUGUACACAAUAUGGCCGAAAGUUUGUGGACACUUGACCAUUAAACCCAUAUGUGCUUUCUGAACAUCCCAUUCCAGAUUUAGUUUCUCUUUGUUGUUAUAAUAACCCCCACUCCUCUGGGAAGGCUUGAACAGGUUUGGGCCAGGCCCCUUGGUUCCACUUAAGGGAGCUUGCAAUGCUAUGGCAUACAAAGAGAGCCUAUACAAUCAUAGUGUGUGCUUCGAACUUUGUUGGAAGACCCACAUAUGGCUGUGAUGGUCAGGAGUCCACAUCAUUUGGUCAUACUGUGUAUAUUGUAAACAUGAAUGUACAUGUUUAACAUUCGCUCAUGAUAUUUUCCAAAAUGACUUAAAUGAAUAAUCCAAUUGAACAGUUAAGGUCUUACUAAAGGACCCAACUGUGGCAGCUUAGUGGUUUGGUAUUUCAACUCACAACCUUCCAAUCAGUAGUCCAAACUUUUAACCACUGAGCCAAAACUUCUGCAGAACCAACAAUCAAGAGGAUCUGGCCAUCUCACUCUACUAAAAGCACUCAGCUUGUUCAGUCCCUUGUAAUCUCGAGAAUGGAGUACUGCAAUUUGCUUCUGACAACUCUUCUUGAGCAUGCCAUCAAACCACUGGAAUGUAUUCAAAAUGCAGAUGUGCAGCUUGUUUUCAAUCUACCAAAGUAGUCCCACAUCAUCCCAAUGCUGUGUUCCCUCCACUGGCUUCCUGUACCUGCCCACAUCAGAUUUAAAACACUGAUGAUUGCCUACAAAGGCAAAAACAAAAAAUGUUUUCUUUGAGUCACAAUCAUGGCUGGACUUAAUUCACAAAGCUCAAGACACAAGGAAGUCAUGCAUCAAAAGUUUUCUCUUUACUGCCACCAAGAUAGUGGAAUAAACAUAUCCUGGAUGCCCGUAUGUCUUCAUAUAGAGGGAGAAAACCGACUUCUUUGUCAGUCCAUUGACAAGCUCAUUCCUGUCAUACCCAGACUCCCUUUUAUGUGACACCCAUAUUCAUUGGCUGCCCCACAGGUUUGCGGUAUGCUACUGAUGCUUCUCUCAAUAUUAUGUCUAUUAGUUAUGGGCUGUCCAGUCUCAUGUAAUUCAACAAUGUGUUUGGUUAAAAAAAAACACUGAUUAUAAAGGGACAUAAGUGCACAGUAGGAUGGACAAAAACCAUCAUCCAUCAUAGACACCCCAGCUAAGUCUUUUAAUGUUUCUGCCAACAUCACUGAUGCAGUACUAGUUCUUUGAGCUGGUUGAUGUUCAACAAAAGCAAAAUGUUCCCCAUUUAUUACUCUCAGCAACAAUGUAGAUCAUUGUGCAUGCAAAAGGCAAAUCGCCCUUAUCAAUGUAUCUUCAAGUCUAUCCUAAUAUGCUUCCAAAUAUACUGAUAUAUCAAAGGUAAUGCAUAUCCACAUUUUAGAAAUAAUAAUACAAUAUCUGGCACACCAAAUGGACUGCAUUCUGGCCAGCCUUAAGAGACAGCUCCCUAGCACGAUUUAAAUUCUUUAAUGCAGCAGAAGAGAUUUAUUGGGCACCAUAUGUGUGGUUUAUGUGUGGUAGGCUCUAUAAUGUGAUGUAGGUCACUGCCUCUCGCUUCCAAUGCUCUGACUCGUAUAUUCAGAAACACUCUCCCAGUAGCUGUUUGCUCAGUAGAUUUUCAGCGCUACUGCCUUUCCCAAAUACUGGGGUGCUGAUAGAUGGGCCCUGUUUGUUUUCACUGUUACCAAGAUCGCUGAAAUAGUCAAUUUUCCUGACUAUCUUAAUCUCUAAAAUGGAAACAUCAAAUGUUGCCCAUUGUCCUAUGGGAUUAAAGUACAUUAUGUGAGUAAACAACUUGUUUUUUUUCUACUUAUUUAUUGUCCUUGUACAAUGUUUGAACACUACAUCAAUAUUCAAACAUUUCUACUGUUUCCUCAUAGUAUAGCAUGCAGUCAGCAUUGUGAGCCAUUUCAAAAUUAUACAGUAUAUAGUAUUUCAAGUAUUCAGUACUUCAAGUUUAUGCAGGUUUACUGCAGUAUAUUUAGAGUAGUAGCACAAGUUUACCAGUAUACAAAUCACAAUUUAGUCUGAAAAAGUAUAAAAGUAGUACAUGGAUAGCAAAUUAAGGCUGUAAACUUUAAGUAUUCUUUCAGAACACUGUGAUCUAUACUUUAUAUACUUACAGUACUGUAAAAUCUAUUAUAUUUUAGUAAGGAAAUGGAUCUGUGCAUGCUUAAAUUGAUGUUGGUCUGCGAAUGGAUAAUGAUCUUGUGCACAUAAGAAUAUGUUUACAGUAACUGAUAUUUGUGACUUUAAAUUUGGGACUGUACAAUACAGUAACACAUAGGUAGAGAAAGAGAAAGGUCACAGGGGAGCAGAUAUGCAGCAGGAAACAUACCCAAAAUAACCAUUAACAUGUCAGCUGUGGUCUAAAGCCUGUGAAAUUUCCAUAGCUUUUCAAGCUGCCAUAAAAUGAAAGCACAGGCCCUCAUUUUUAAUUUUCUGCUUACAUCUUUAUAUAUUUGGCUGAAUCAGCUCAGCAGUAGAACUCAAAAUAUCUGCACAAUCAUCACAUAAUCUUCAAUGACCACAAAGCUGGCAGAAAAUCAAGUACAGUACCUCAGUGUGUAUCUCUCUAUUGCUAAAUAUGGCAUCAUAAAUGAUAACAUUUUGCAUACUGUCAAUGUACUUCCUCCAAAAAAACAUACAUUGAUGAAAACACAGAGUCAAAGCUGCUACUGAAACAGCCACGCUUGUGUGUAUGGUGGCCAUGAUAAACACAGAGGGCACUUGUUUGCUCGCAGUCUAUGUUGACUAACGGAAGAUGGACUGCCGAUUUGUCAGAAAGUUGACUUUCGUGACUGUAGGGGCAAAAUGUCUCUGCUCAGAUUCCUGGACUUUUCAGGAAAAAAAAAAGUGUGGAAAAAAGCAAGAAUACCUCAAUAGAAGCUCUGUAUGUAUUCUAUGCUGGGUGGCCAAGCUAUAGAUAAAGACGUUGACAUCUAAAGCUAAGUUUGGGAACCUUAAAAGCAAACAGCUUAAUUUAGAUGUCCGGAGUAUGUGUACUGACAGUACGGAGAGUAUUGAGUGUGCUUGGUGAUUUUGUUCUGUUUGCACAGCUGAAUGAAAACUCUGAGUCACAUAUAAGGUAUGGGGGAUAAUGUAUAGGUUAGUGACAUACGAUAACAUACGAUUUAAAACACUAUGAUAAAAACAAAAACAAAACAAAAAAACAUCCAAAACUCCAAUGGCUGGUUUGCUAAUAAAGGUCAUGGCACAUGACUUCAGGGUCAGAAAAAAGGGUUCUGGUGUGUUAAAGUGGUUCAGAAGGUCAAAUGACAGUGUCUGCCUUCUCUGUAGUGCAUUCUCCAGAUGUGCUUCUUGGGAAGAACAUAUAGGACUGUAUCAAUUGCCAUUUACAGCUGCUUUGGCUGACCUUAUGGACAGCAGGCAUCUGGGACAAGAGGUAAAUAAAACCAGUUGUGGGUGAGAUUUUUAGGAUGCCUGGAAAGGACAGCAUAACUGAUGGGAUCUUAAACAGGUGUUUGCUAUAGCAAUUCAUACUGUACCCUGCAUAAGCGCCUGAUGCCAGUCAUGCUUGAGUUUCUUGGCUCAAGGAGUGUUACAGUACUUAGCCUUUUACAGGGGCCUUAUUUGCCUUGGAAAAACACCAUGCCACUUGCCUUAGCAUUUAAACCACAAGUGGUGUCCCACAGACAAAAGGGUUUUUGACUGAAUCCUGUGGACAUGAACUGCCUUCAUGUGCAAGUUCUUUCCCAGUUUCCCAGUUAAACUAGCAAAUGAACCUGUGUAACCAGCAGCUACAUCAAGCUGCAAACUCAAAAAAAAAAAAAAAAGAAAAAAAAAAGCUGGCCACAGUUAAAAUAUGCACAAACAAGAUAAAAUAUAUUUUUGGUAUCACUUAAGUGAAAACAUUUUUCCUGAGGUGUAAAUGUUCCCAUGACUCAUAGAUCAAGCUGUAUUUCUCAGUAUAGCGUUUACAUAAGUCAUAGUGCCACAUCCACAUCUGCAAGUCCCAACCCUAAGAACUCCAAUUCCCAUGAUUCCCAGUCCACAACCAUGCCACAUGAUCCUCAUCAAAACAUCUAUCCCUGUUCUCCUUCACUGAAUUAUUGAUUUAAUCCACCUGUCUGAAAUCACUGACACUCCCAUAAACAACCUGGGUUCACUCGAAUACUUUGCAAAGUCUCACUCCAGCAUUGUGCCUGUGACGUUACUAAGCCUUUUGUUUGCUGCCAGUUUUGCAUCGUUUUGAUUUCAUUCUCCAAAUUGUUCUGCCUAGUUCAUGCCUAUCUGCUAAUCAGCUAACCCUGUUUUUCGUUUUGAGCAUUGCCUACCUCUUCUGGUUUGUUUGCUUAAGUGUUCAUAAUUUGCACUUGUGUGACUAUUAGGAAAACUAUCCAAAUGCAUUCCACUAGUGAAACUGUGGUCUUUUAUAACCUGUGGCAAUGGCAAAAGAUCAGAGAAGGAUCAAUUUACAUGCACACCUUGAUUUCUUCUAUUUUUGUGUAUAUCUCAUACUAAAUAGUUUUAGAUCUUCAAAUGAAAUACAAUAUAAAACAAAGGCAACCUGAGUAAACACAAAAUAGUUUUUAUUUAUUUUUAUUUUUUAUUGAAGCAAAAAAAGGUUAUCCAACACCUAUCACCCAUGUGAAAAACUAAUUGCCCCCUUAAACUUAAAAUCUGUUUGUGCCAACUUUAGCAGUAAUAACUGCAAUCAAACGUUUCCGAUAACUGGAGAUCAGUCUUUCACUUACUUCUAGGACUACGUAGGACUUAGUCCUAUGCUUUGGAUCAUUGUCUUGUGCAUAAUCCAGCUGCGCUUGAGUUUCAAUUUACAGACUGAAGACUGGACAUUCUCCUUUAGGAUUUUCUGUUAGAGAGCAGAAUUCAUGUUUCCCUCAAUUAUUGCAAGUUGCUCAGGCCCUGAAGCAGCAAAGCAUCCCCACACCAUCACAUUUCCAUCACCAUGCUUGACCGUAGGUAUGAUGAUCUUUUUGUGGAAUUCUUUGUUUCACUUCCACUUUCGACUCAUCAAUCUACAGAACAUUCUCCCAAAAGUUUUGAGGAUCAUCAAAGUGUGUUUUGGCAAAAUUCAGAAAAGCCUUAAUGUUCUUCUGGGUUAGCAGUGGUUUUUACCUCGCCACUCUUCCAUGGAUGCCAUUUUUGCCCAGGGUCUUUCUGAUAGUGGCUCUCACUGUGGUUUUUUGGAGUCCCAGAGCCUUUUAAACAGCUUUGUAACCCUUUCAAGAGUUAUGUAUUUCAGUCACCUUCUUCCUCAUCAUAUCUGGAAUUUCUUUUAAUUUUGGCAUAGUGUAUUACUGGAUAAGACUUUUUAACCAACUUCAUGCCGUUGAAAAAGUUCCAUUUAAGUGUUGAUUUGAUUGAACAGGGUUUGCAGUAAUGCGGGACUGCACCUUCUUAGGCAUCAAUCACAGGGGAUUUACAAAUCUCAGUAAGAGUACAGUGUUUCGGAUGCGCUUGAAAUGGAAUAUCCCUGCCUGUCCAUCAGCAAGACAUAAAUGCAUAGUUUCCUGGGGGACAUUCAUGUUAAAUGAGGGUUCUCCUAUGCUUCUAUUAUCCUCUCCAUGAUAUCACAUGGAUAGCAAUUUCCUCUUGGCUUGUUGCUGAUCAAAUCUUUGAAAUGGAUGGUGAUAUUGAGUGGCUCUCACCCUAGGUCAGUGUUAGAUCUGAUUUCAGUUCAAGCUGCAUUAAAACUCUUAUCACUGUAAUGAAAUACAAUUACAUCAGAUAAAUCUUACACUAUGUUGUUAAGUAAAAAAAAUCCCUUGCAUGCAGUGGCUUGUAGAGUUCUGUGUUUUUCACUGGCAUGAUUCACAUUCUGCGCAAACAUACUAAAUUCAGUGGCAAUUCUAACAUCAAAUUUCUUGGGUAGAGUAGUAAUGACAAUGCACUGGACUGUUCACUUAUCAAGGUAUAUAUGUUGCUGCAUGGCUAUAACUGCGAUCAUAACUAAGUAUAAUUUGAUGUAUUAGUUUAAUUUGAUGAAGGAUUCCAGUGGCUUAAUGCAUACCAUUUCACAGCUAUAAUUCUGGGCUUCUGUGGAGUCUGACAAAUGAAAGUCUUCUUACUGCUGUGUUCUGUUACAGAGGGAAAACAAGUGACAACCUAGGCACAAUAGUACAGGGGUCACAUAGUAGACCUUAAUUAAUAGCUAAUAAAUGUAUAUAGAAGCAGUGACUGUAGUAGGAUUUUCUGGUGCUCCUUAUUGUAAUAUGUUAGGAUUAAAAAAAAAAAAAGAAGAAAUACUCAUAAGAAACUGAACGGUAUCUGAAUAUCAUGUUUACUCACAAAUUACUGGUCAAUACUGCAACCCUUCAUGCAUUUUUAAUUGCAUGUAAUUAAAUUUAACCGUCUUGGCACUAUUUACGUGGAACUUUUUACUUUAAACAACAAUACAGUACUUUGGAGUUUGCACUGCCCUGUGCUGAACACACACAGACCUUUAUGAGGUUUUAUCUCUUCAUAUGCCUUGUAUGUGGAUUAAGAGCACAAUUAGAGUGUUAUAAUCAUGCUGUUAAUCAUUAAUCAGCCUACACAUUUGCCAAAACAGUACUUUUUACAGUACAAUAUGUAGUUUUUACUUGGUCAGUUCUCAUCAGGAUAAUUUUUAUCAUUGUCAUUAAAUAUAUUUCUUAAAUUCCCCCUUCCUAUUGAGUCUUGCUCUAUGCAGCAAUACACUUCAGUACUAACAACAAAAAAAAAAAACUCCAAAACUUUUUGUUCAAUAAAUCACACAUUUGUGAGUCACCUUCAGUAAUGAGGCCUUGCUGGUACAACUCCAUCCCUUUAAACCCAAACCAUCCAAAAAGCCUUCUCUUUCACAUGAUUGUAAAGGGGUAAGCUAUCUCUUAGCCAUCCAGCCUGUAAAAGUAAUGCCUCUAGCAGGUGUACAGGUAGUGACCGUACAGUUAAUCUUUAAAAGUGAGAUGGGCAGGAAAUAGGACGUUCUGGGUCAUUGGGAGGGGAAGAGCCUGGCAGCAGGCAGGUGCUUAAGAAGCAUAGCAUGUAUAAAGGGCCAUAUGGAGUAGGAAGGAUCUUUAUCCAUUUCUCUCAAAAGUUUCAGACCACUUCCAAUACAUGUAUUGCAUGGCUUGUUGGUUAUGAAUCCUUUGUUUCAGCAAUGUUACAUUACGUUAAUUACCUCAGUUUAUUCUGAACUUUAAAAUGUGUCGAUACAUUAAAAAUAUAGUGAUAUUAGUGAGUGCUGAUAUUGUAUAAAAAUAACAGAAAUUACUCUGGUCUAAAUCUUUAGCUGUCCAAAAUUAGAUCCUUUUCAAGCUAUGCAUAAUAAAAAAUAAAAGAGUAAAACACAAAAAAACUGAAUCAACAAUUAGGGCUUUUUAGGAAAAAUGCAUAGGUAAUUAGCUUACUGUGCAUUAUUGUACUUUUCUAAUUUCUAAAGAUGUAGUUAUUUUGAAUAUGGGGUUUGUAUUGCUGUUUAUAGUGCUGGGAGAUAUGACAAAAUAUCAUAUUAUUCUUGAAGACAUUUACAAAAUACACAAUAUAUUGGUUUGGUCACAAUUAUUUUUUAAUUUAAGAAAUAGAAGACACUGAAAAUGAGAAAAAAAGUGAAACUUUAAGCACUUUAUAUUUAAAAAAAAAUUAAGUACAACAUUUUAACAUCAAAUCAACUGCUUCCAGUCAGUACACUAUCAAGGCUAAAAGUUAUAUAGACACAUGACCAAUCAAACCCAUAUGUGCUUGUUGAACAUUGCAUUGAAGAUUUAUUCCCCCUUUGCAGUUAUGAUAACCUCUACUCUUCUGGAAAGGCUUUCCACUAGAUUUUGGAGCAUGGUUGUUGGGAUUGUGCUCAUUCAGCCACAAGAGUAUUAAUGUGGCCAAACAGUGAUGUUGGUGAAGAGGCCUGCCAUUCCAGUUUAUCCUAAAGGUGGUCAGUGGGGCUGAGGUCACGGCUCUGUCCAGGCCACUUAAGUUCUUCCACACCAACCUUGGCAGUCAUGUCUUCAUGAAGUUCUCUUUGUGCACAGAGGCACAAAAAUCUUAUUGCCACAACAUACAAAAAGACAUUCUAGACAAUUGUGUGCUUUCAACUUUGUGGCAAAGGUUUUGGGGAAAAACCACAUAUGGGUGUUGAUGGUCACGUGUCCACAUACUUUUGGUCAUAUAGUGUACCACGAUAUCCACAAUAUCUCAAAGUAUAUUGAGACAUAAUUUAUAAUUUAUAUAUUGAUCCUUGUACCUGAAAGUGUUUAUAUGUAUUUGGGAUUAAUUAAAUUUGAUAUAUUUUAUUCUAUUUGGGAUUCAUGAUUUUAUUUAAUUUUUAAAUUGGCUUCACUAUAUUUUAUUACGGAUCAGAAAUUUGACAGGAGGUAAUCUGAAAGUGAAGGUCAUUCAUUUAAAGUUGCAACUCCUGAGCUACAAUCGCUCAAUGGGAGGACAUGGGUAGAAAUACAUACAAAGCAUGGAAAGAUUUUAAGAGUUUACUUGCAAGUAUAGUUGACGUUACAUAACCCACAUGUGCUAGCAAACUGUACUUCCUGGCUUUUAUAUACUGCAUUACUAGACUAGACUGAAAAAAGAGGUAUAGUAUAAAAAUAAAUCAGGAAGAAACCUGUUUGGGUGAAAUUUUUUUUGGCAGAGUGCCUACACUGGGCCUUAAUGACACAUGAAUUCCCAUAUUCACUGCGUAAAUAUUUUAGAAAACUGUGAAGAGAAUUUAAAAAUGCUUACUCAUAAACUGACCAACCAUAUGAUAGUAUUUACUGUACAUGAAAGAGAGAAGAUGCCAUUAUAAUACAAGCAAAAUUAUGGUAGACUUCAAAGUUGUGUUAACACAUUUUAUUAUUAUAGCAGAAUAUUUAUGAAUCUUUGAGACAUUUUUAUGAAGCAUCCAUCUGCCAUCUUACCCUUUUAAAAGCAUACGGCGGUCAAUUUGCCUUCAAAAUAUUAAACAGCACAAUACAUUCCCAUGAAAUGUAUAGCUUCUAUAAAUCCAAGAAGAUUUUAAGAAGCCCAUAAUCCAGGUGAAAUAAUGAUUUUUAUGUCCUCUUCAUAAUGAUAAUUGAGAAAGAAUCAGGAAUGUAUAAAACAUCUAAGGUCACACCACAUUUUUCAUAAACCUUUCAUAAAUCAUCCUGCAGUGUUUUAUCCACGUUUAUUCAGUGGUUAUAAAUAUGUCAUGAAGGUCCAAUGGCGAUACCCUUCAAAUGAGGUGCUAUCCUUUUUGCUAAGAUAAAAAAAGUAAGGAAUGUAAAAUUCAAGAAUAACAACAGCAAAAGCAGUAUUCAAAUUUUCAAGCAGUCCAAACAUACAUUUUAGCCACUGUUUCAUACCAGCCACCAAGAUUGAGAGGUUUUUUUCUUGCUGAUGUUUUUUUUUUUUUUUUUUUAAACAUGAACUGCCAAAUUUCCACUGCUUUCUUGGAGGAUGGAAAAUUAUUAUGCCCUCUCUGGCUUCAUCCCAAAUCUGUAUAGUCUACAUGCUCACUCAGCAUCACUAUGGAGUGAGGAAGAGAGUUUCCAUUCUUCAGCAGUCAGAGGGUUAGUCCCUAACCCUGUCUUCCACAGAAAUGAGUACCUUUUAGAUGGCAACCCUUCAUGGGAAGACUAUGGCGCUGAAGCAGAUAAAAAAAUAAAAUAAAAAAGUGCAGAGUAAAGAUGAAGUAGGCCAAGGUCAGGAAAAAGGAAUGUCACUGAGGAAGUGAGAAACUAACCAAACCCAGUGACACUGAAUGCUGGAGGGCACUGAAUAUGCUGAAUAUACUUUACUGAAUGUUUUAUCAGUUACUCAUUUGGUAACACACAAUGCUUAACGACAUGCUUAUGCUACUUGCCGUAAAUGUUUAUUGUUGAAGCACAUUUGCUGCAUGCACCUCUGAAUGCUUACUUGCAUACUACAGCAACACAUGGGCAGUUGAGAUUGCAUGCAUUAAUUAGAGUAAACACAUCACAUUUCCUGGGACAAUCCCAUACAGUAUUUCAGCUUCUUCUUUUUGUGUACUCUGACUUAUUCUCAAAAAUUAUUUGUUUGUCCCACAUGUGUGACUGUGAAUGUAUUUCAUUGAAGACAUGGACACAUUCACACAUUGACACCCUUGGAAAAAUUGUUCUCACUUUCUCACUUCUGUUUUCUGGUUAGUUUCAUGACUCAGGUCACAUGACAUUUAUUUAUAUAGCACAUUUAAAGCCAAGAGGUGUUGGCUAAAGUCUGGCACAACUAUCAAAUCAAGUUAAAAUUGUUCUGAGAAUUGCAGAUGAAAUCUCUUCUCUGACCUAUUGGGAAGAGCGGAGGGUGAUAGGGACUAUUGGGGUGUCAAUAUAAUACCAAGUAUUAUAGUACAUCAAAAAUUUAAUUAAGAGGUAGUAAAACAUGUAACAAGUUGAAUAAACCUUCUGAAAGGGUGGUUGGACCAAAUGUAGCCAGUAUAUUCAAACAGAACCAUGCUCCAUAUAACCUAAGCCUAAUUAACAGAAAACCAGAUAUUGUCUUGUUAUUUAACAGAGAAAACCACAUCAUUGAUACUGUGAAGAUUUUUGUAAAAAGCCAUUUAUUUAACAUUGGUUUAACAUUCAACAGUUUUCUGCCAAAAGAAAUUCUUCAGGACAGAGGAGAUUUGUGCUUUCGGGUUUCUCUGUAACAGGACAAGCUGUGAUAUUUUUAUUUUAUUAACUUUAAGAAAAAUGAAAAAAAGAGAGGUUGCUGAGGGAAUGAUUGUUUAUAGCGCUAAUACACAAGUGAUAACAGGAACUAAUUUGUUUCACAGAUGUUCCACCUUCAAAAGAACAGUGUUGUUUUUAAUUUAAUUAACAAUGUGUUGUGUUUAAUUAAUAAAUACUGUAGUUGCUGCCAAAUUAUUGUGAUACAAGAGAAGUAAAACACUUCUUGAUGUGCUGUUACUAAGAAAAUAAUCAAUGUCAGGGUGGUAAAAGUAACUCUCUCAGCUGCAUCACACCACCCUGUUGUUGAUUUUUUUCCUAUAACGACAUGCCUUGUAUGUCGUAUUCCUUAUUUUAUUUGUUUUCCCUUCAUCAUUUGCAAAAACCCUUGCUGUUUUGUAUUAGACAAUGGAAUAUCUGGUCAGCUUACCAUUUAUACGGUGAAUAAUUUUAAUAUACUGGUUUGUCAUUGGUGAUAUACUCAGUAUCCAUGGUGCAUAAACUCAAAGCUUUCUCUCGCUCUCUCUCUUUCACACACAUUUUUGCACACAUACCCUGUGUACAAAGGAGCCUAUUUAUACCAAAUGCUACCAUAGGUGGCAAUGCCCACCUCCAGUUUCAAAUGUAAAAUGGCUUUGGCUGGUAGUAAGGCAGAAGUUUGGCGAUCUUGCUGUGCAUAAUUCCCACCCUUUCCCCAAGGUAAUAACUCUUUAAGAAAAAUAACAAGCUUGCUGGCAGGACACAGGCUACUUACAGCUCGUUUUCACAUUCGUGAAUCAGGCUAAAUGCCUCAUUAAUACAUGUUAUGGUCUCACAUGCUCACACACGCUUGAUGCAGGCUCAUCAAGAAAUGAUUUGCCUGUAAUAAUUACUACCAUUAAAUGCAUAUUGAAUUUUGGUUUUAGUUUGGGCUUCUUGUCAAUAUAUGACUUGUACAUGCAACCGUUCAUAAACCUGGGACGUCUUUACACCAGUUACCAUUUUCAUGUUACGUAGUGUCAGUCAAAAGUGCAAGGACACAGUCUACCUGUCUUGUAUAAUAAAUCUAUUAUGGUUUAUAUUUAUCCAUGUUUAUGUCCUGUCCUUUGCUCUCAUAAAGAUCUUUGUCUUAUUUCUACUAUUAGUUGUAUAGGACAAUGGAAAGCUUUUAUGAUGGUUUAUCAAAGGUUCUGUUUUCCACUUUUAGUCUUACACAAUAGUUUUGUCAUUGGCCAUGCAGUACUUAGAUAAAACAUAUAUAUUUCUUUAUACUUCAGAUAUGGAGCAAAUGAUAAAUGUAUUUGGGAGCUAGCACACAUCCAGAUAUUUGAGUUUCCGUUUUAUUUUUAUUUCCGAAUGCAAGGUCACAUAUUUAGGAUAUACUGUAACUGUAAAACAUUAGAUAUUUAUGAUGUUCUGAGAACAAAAUCUAAUUGAUAAAAUACUCUUGAUUAAAGGGGAGAAUUAAAGGGAUUCUAUAAAGAUUGUGGCUGAAAUCACUAACCAUUUUAGGGAUGUCCUUAAAACAAAAUCUCUUACACAGAUGUUUUAUACAUCCAUGCACCUAUACAUGUAAUUGUUUUAAAAUGCUUGUCAAAAGGACAAAAUACAUAGACUAUGACUACACAGAGUCCGGAUAUACAUUUUCUCUUAAGUAUAGUCCUGUGUGUAUUUAAUGUUGUCUAUAGUCUCUUGUUUAUGCUUGUCAUUUUUAAAUUCUAUGAUUAAAACACCAGGAGCCCAUGACAAAAAAAAAGACCCCUCCCCCCCAAAUAAAACAAUAAAUAACCACUAACUUAGACCUACGUCAGGGACUUAAAUCCUCAUGGAAUGUACACACUUAGGAAAACAUGAAUAAGAAGUCAGACUUCUUUUAAAUGUCUUUCAUGUUUUGUACCUGUCAGUUCCAAGGAGGAGCCUGCAGUGUUGAAAGAAGAUUAUGAGAAGUAUGAAGAUGAGAAGAUGACCGGUAAAAGCAGUCACUGAGCCAAAAUGCCACGUGAUAACAGCGAGUCAAAUGCUUUUUCCACAUAUGAAAGACUGAUGCGCUUGUUUUCCUAGUGAGUGUCAGGGUGCAUGUAUGAACCAGCAUCCCUGUAAUCAGUGCCUUCAAAGUCAUUACAUGGUCUGUGUGAUGGAUGGACAACGCUGUAAGCCUCUGAAGUACGAUAACUAUGAAAAAGGUCAGAUUUUGCUUAACUGAACCCCUGAAGACAGACCAAAGCUACUAUGCAGCUAGUCCCUUGGGAACGGUAACAGUGUCAUGUAUAUUUGACAAAAACUCCUAAACAUAGAGACUUUGAAAUGUAUUUGGCUACAGGGCUAUCAGUUAUUAUUAGUGAAGGAAAAAUAAUUAUUCAGACACUUUUCUUUUUUGUUAUUCAGUAUACUUCCAGUGCAUAUAUCCACUUCAAAUUUAUACACAUGUUGUUUUUUGUCUUAUGCAUGUGUGUAUAUGUACAAAUAAAGAUAUGUUUACAAAAAUGACAUUAAUUGGGGAAAAUAAAUAGGCAUACACCAUAAAUGACUAAUAUUAGUACUUCGUUGCAAGGCGGCUGUUGACAGUUACAGCUUUGAGACAUCUAUAAUAAGAAGUAAUUAUUUUUUUGCAGCUUUGUGUGUGAAUUUUUGCCCAUUCCUUAUGGCAAAUUUCUUCAAUUCCCCAAGGUUAUUAGGCUUCCACUGAAUUACAAAAUCAAUUGCUAUGUAGCUUUUUCCAUUUGAGUGUCACAAGGUGCAGUGUGCAUAAGAACAGUUUUUGCAGCAAUGAUAUCUACAACUUGAUUUAUUUUUAUGUAACUUAUGCAUAUAUACGUUAUACAUAAUGUCUGAAUACUUUUCCCUUUCAAUUUUCUUUUUCUAUACAGCUCUGAUUAUGCUACUGAAUGCAUACUUUUUUGUUCAUAUUCAAGUCAGAAUCAAUGUGUGUAAAUUUUAAGCAGAUAUUUGUACUGGAUGUAUAUUAAAUAACAAAAACAAUGUGAGGAGAAAUAACAGUGAAUUUCUUUAUCCAAGUGCUUUCCAUGAAACAUAGCUGAGGGUCAUUGAUUAAAAAAAAAAAAAAAAAGUUAAAGAAAAUCACAACUGUCCAGUCUCAAAGUCAACUUGGACCUAAUGUGUCCUGUCAGUGGAAAAUUUAGGAAUAAAAAAAAUCUCUAUGGCACCAAUAAAUACCCAGAAUUUUACUGUUCAAAUUUAAAUAAUGAGCCUAAUAUUAUGGUCAUAAAAUAAAUCUGUAGUGAGAGAAUUUAUUUUAAAGUUAAAGGGGUCCUUGGCUCCAAAAUAUUUGAGAACUCUUGCUUUAUGCUAAGAAAAAGUGCUGUAAGUAAAGGAAUAAUUUCUAGCUGAACUAUGUUCAUGUGUUCUUUCCAACAGACUCCCAAUGAAGUAUUACUUUUAAUUUUAACAUAUACUGCAUUUUAGCUAUAGCUAUAGGGUUUGAUCAUAUAAAAUCAUAUAAAGGCUUAAAGUGCAUAUCUGGAAGCAUGUGAAACAGGUUGUUUGCUUAAGCUAUUUUAAAAGUUUGAGGUACAGUGUGUGCCAAAGUUAACUGGGCAUGUGCACAGCUUUAUUAAAAAAAAAAAAAAAAAAAAAGAUUCAAGCAUGCCCUGUAAGUGUGCGUGAGAACCAGCCCAAAGAGUCAUUGCUUUCUCUUUUCUGCACUGCCAUAUAGCUGCAUUUAAAAGCACAUGUGAAGGAGGAAAGCAGAUGUGCAAACCACAGGAAACAUCAUUAGCUUCACAAACAUUCAUCCCAACGAGGCAUGGAGACCCUGUUCAGAGCACAACUGCCCCUUUCCAGUAGCAGCACCAUACUCUCCCUUGUCUUUACUCUCACUUUUCACUGCUCAAUUCUGUCACUACAUUAUUCCAUCUUUCAUUCAGAGAACCCAUUUCUACAACUACAAAUCAUAAGUUCUAGUUUCUACAUUUUCACAUUUGGUGCAUCCCCACCCACUACCUUCAUCUUUGUUUGUUGCCCUGGCCGAUGAGUAAUCCACCGAGUCAGGUCUUUAUUCAGUGUGUCUCAAGGACAAUUUCCUCCUAGAUCCCUCCUCUUCUUUUUACUUCAUCUUUUUUGAUGAGCCUUGCUCAGUUCACAGAUGGGGCAAUGGAUGCAAUCUGGGAGCCAUAUGACACCAACGCCCUUCUUUCUUCUCCUUUCAUCAUCUUCUUUACUCUUUCACCAUAGCUUUUACAGUUUUCAACUCUCAUCCAACAUCUCAUCUCAUCAUAUAAUAGGGACACAGGAAAGGGACAAACACAGCACUAUUGCCAAGAUGGAACAGUAGAAGCAUUUUUUACAUUCAGCCACAAGAUGUUGAAGAAAAGAAGAACAUGUCAGCAGUUUCAUGUGCAGUUUUAAUUGACAGUGAUCGUCAAUGUAAAUGUCAUAGCAAAGAGACUUGAAGUGCUCUAAAUUAUCUGAAGGUGGGAAAGUGCACCAGUCAAAGUGCCCCAAUACACUGUAAUGGUAUAUACAGACCCCCAGCUCAAAGACUUAUGCAUGUAAUGUGUAGAGCUGUAGCUGGAAGAAGCUAGUGUUCAGGGUUAUGUCCUGGGAACUGUUAGGUUUGAGGUAAGGUUUAUGUUUCAUAUUUAUGUGUUUAUCUGUUAGUAUGUGUAAUAAUGUGGAUUAGUAGACAAAAUUAAAUGUACCUUAAUUCAUGCAUUGAUCCAUUGAUCAUACCAACCUGUCUGCAGUUCCUAUGUCAUGCGUAAAUGAGCAGAUGGUUGACUAUGACUGGUUGGUGCUUUUAUAAAUAAAUGUUUGGUUAUGAUGUAAGGAAAACCGAUGGUUGUGCCUAUGUAUUUUAUGCAAUUCUUAAAGUAAAGAAUGAUAACUAUCAAACUGUGUUUGUGGUCUGAGCUGUUUAGCUAGCUCAUAACAAUCAUCCAGUGCAGGUGAGGUCUAAAUGCACAGGUGAACCCCAGCAGGUGGAAAGAGCUGUUCUUUGACCCUCUGUUUUAGUGCCCUCUGCUGGACACUGAUUGUUAAUGGUGAACUGAUAUGAUGAACAACAUGAGAAUAAAAAUUCAAAAGACAAAAAGAUAAUUUGGUUAAAAAUAGAUUUUCCAGACUGUUAUGCAUUGAUUCUCUUUGCUCUUUGAUCUGUUCUCCUCUGCGAUGCAGUUGGGGUUGGUGGUGAUUUUUACUAAAAGUUAUUAUUGAGCUCUAUGCAGAUAAACCUGACGUAUAUAAUAUUUAUAAAUAAUACUGUUUAAACCAGCAUACACUAUUUAGUUAUUUUGGUGUGUCUCUUAAGCCUAACAGUGUGUCUUGCUUAUCCAUGGUGCUGUGUCUCAACCAGCCUUCAGGUGAAGGUGCUGACUUGUCGAGGUGGGGAGGUAUGUCUGGUUACAUGCCUGGAAAUGUUGUAACACAACAUUGUGACCCUUCCUCUGUGAGAAGUAUCAAUGUUUCAGAGUCAUAUUAUUAAAAUAAUGAUUUAAGCUUAGUACAAACUAGAGUUGCACAAGUAGUAGUAAAAUAAAUACACUUGCAAUUCUAUAACGUGGUAAACCAAGCGAGUCCCUCUCACUUACACUAACCCGAUCGGGGUUGUAGUGGAUCCAGAGCCUAUGCCGGGUACGAGGCAGAAAUAAACACUGCAUGGGAUGCCAGUCCAUGGGCACAAUGCACACACAUUCAUAUUUUGUUUUUUUUGUGGGUUUUUUUUUUCAAUGGUAUGUUUUUGGGAUGUGGAAGCAAACCAACACAGACAUAGGGAGAACAAGUAAAACUGUACACAGAUACUUAUUCGAGCUCCAAACCCCGUGCCUUGGAGCUGUGAGGAGGCAAUGUUACUUGCUGUACCACCGCUCUGCCCUGGAUCAAUUCUAUAAAGUGUACAACUUUAGAUGCUAUAUUUAAACAGAAUAAAUUGAUGCAGUUUAUCGCUAUGGGUAUAUCAGGUGCAUAGAAUUCAGUCAACUUGUGGAAAAGAGUGAGUUUUGUCCUUAUUUUUUUCUUACCUUGCUAAGGAAACAGUCAGCAAACGAAAAGAAACAAAACAAAAACAGCAUGCAAAAAUUACUAUAAAUCCCUCCACUGCAAAACAGCUAACACAAGCGACAUGGUGAGAAAUCAGGCUGCCAAGAAUCACGAACUUGACUUAGAUUAAGAAGGUUAGACAGCAAAAUGCUUUGUUGAGAAUUUAAUUCAGACACCUUAAUGAUCAAGUGCUUUUCCUGCAUAGUGUCUUAUCAAACUUGUGACACUGAAUCUGCUUCAUAGCCAUCACAUAUUAAUCUUUACAUUUCAAUCCAGCCUAAUUUUGAAGGAGUGUGAUAAAAUAUUGGAGAUCAAACAUGCUUUGAUCACCACAUAAUGUUAAGUAGCUAAUCUUAGCCAUCUAGUAUAAUAUUUUUCUGUAUUCAUAACUACAGUAAUGUGGCUUGGCCAAUCAAACAUUUGAUCCUCUUUGAAACAGUGCCUAUUAAUAAAGUUGAUACACUAACAAAUUACACAUAAAAUUUACAUUUUUUAGUAAUUUUAACUAUUGAAAUGAACAAAAAACAGAUCAGUUACAUGGAAAAAGUAAGUACACCCCCACAUUUAUCACACCUUCAAAUCCAUAAAAUUAGAAUCAGGUGUUCAAGAUUGAAUGCCAGUGAUUAGAACCUGUUUAAGGAGUGCAGGUGGAACCUGUCAUAUUUAUACACCUCUCAAAUCUAAUGUCUGGUGUUCCCUUUGCUACUGAGGUGCGUGAUGUCAUCAUGCCAGGAUCUAAAGAGCUUUGUAAGUCCUUCAGAAAAAAAAAGGUUAAGGAUACCUGUGAGUCUAGCAAAGGUAUUUAAAAUGAUCUCCAGAUUAUUUGAUAUACAUCAUUCCACUGUAAAUAAAAUAAUCUAUAAAUGGCGUAGAUUUCAAACGACUGCCAAUUUGUCCAGGACUGACAAAUUCAGUCCAAUAGCAGGCUGUUUGAUGCAAAAAGAAGUCUCCAAGAACUGUUGGUGUAAAACUGCAUGCGUCUACAAUUAGAAAGAGCUUGAAUAAAUUUGUCCUGUAUGGGAGGCAUGCCAGGAAAAAGCCUUUGCAAGACUAAAGUUUGCCAAUGAGCAUAUAGGCAAAGACCAGGCCUUCAAAGAUAGAGUUGUUUAGCCACAGUAACAGCAGACAUGUUUGGCAGAGACCAAAGACAGCUUUUCAGGAGAAGCACAUCAUACCAACUGUGAUGCACGGUGGUGGAAAUGUUAUGGUUUGAGGUUGCUUUGCUGCCUCAGGGACUGGACAGCUUGCAUUCAUUGAUUCAACUAUGAAUUCUGCAUCAUAUCAAAGAGUGCUUGAAGAUAUUGAGACGCCAUCUGUCUGAAAAUUGAAGUUGAACCGAAAGUGGAUCUUUCACCAGCAUAAUGAUUCUAAGCACACUACAAAAUCCAUCAAUGAAUGGCUCAAAAAGAAGAUAUAGAGGGUUAUAGAAUGGCCUAGUCAAAGCUCUGAUUUGAAUCCCAUUGAAAUGAUAUGGGGGAUUUGAAACGGGCAGUACAUGCAAGAAAACCUAUUGCAUGGAAGAGUGGUCAAAAAUUCCAGCAAGCCUGGUGGAUAAUUAUUCAAAAUGCCUACAAAAAGUUACUUCUGCUAAAGGGGGCAAUACUAGCUUCUGAGGCCAAUGGCAUACAUACUUUCCACAGAAGAAUAUCACAUCUAUUGAUAUUUCUGUUGAAUAAAUGAUUGAAAAAGCUAAUUUUCCUUGUGGUUUUGUUCAAGUAUAUCAACUUUAUCAAUAGACACUGUUUCAAAGAUGAUGAAAUGUUUGCUUGUGCAAAUACUUCAGUACUUAUUUUUUUCAUAUGACUGCAUAUUCAAAUUGUAUUUGUAAUAAACUUUAGUUUUAUCAGAUUAUUUAGGUCAAAACUACAGUACCCCAGUCUUGUGCUGUGACCGCUCCAUGACCCUGUCCUCUCUCUUUACUCAUCUGACAUGCGCUUGUGGGAAAGCACAACACUGCCAGCAUGAGUAUUUGCACCACAUGCUUCUCUCCAAGUAAUUAAAUCAAUAGAAACUUUUCUAUCUGACAAAAUGUUGUUGCUUAUUCAUACCAAAUUUAAAGAUGGGGGUGUUUCUUUAAAUAGGGUGUGGGGUGCAAUGUUAUAUUUGUGCAUGAUUAAUAUUGCAGCAGCUAAAUUAACUAACUAAAAUAAAACUGGAUUUCAAGUGACUUGCUUCAUAAAUGUACUAUAUUUAGUAUGACUUCUGGCUUCUACAGACUAUGUAGUGCUCAAUAGAAAGCCUUUGGUUCGGUUUCUAGUUAUUUAAACAGCUGCACUUAGGUCGAAUGGCUGUCACAUUUUGGCUUUAUGAACAAUGAGAGAGGAAAAUAGAAACAUCACAAUGACAAGUGUGUUUGACUUGACACAGUAAAAUGUACAAACACUAAAGACCUUCUCAGAGAAUCACCACCUGUCUCAGGAUUCAUGUAGACAGAUAAUUUCUCAGUUAUGAUUACCAUCAAAGAUGUGCUAUUUCAGGACAUACAGUUACCAUGUAAAAGUCUUAAGCACAUCCAAAGUGUCACGUCACAGAGGGUGAGAUGGAUUCAAAUGCAGAAUCUUUGAAAGUUGAAACGUUUAAUCAAAGUACAAACAAAACAAGACUUACAAGAACCAGGACUUAGAAUGACGUGAGACAGAAGGAUAAACCAACAUAAUGCAAGACAAAAGUACAGUGCAAACUGUGGUUAUAUAUAUAUACACCUCAUGCUCAUUCAUAUCAAUGAGAUUCAGGUGCAGGUGGUGUGAUGAUGCCGUGUGGUGCAGUGGCUGCUGGGAACUGUAGUCUUAGUCCUUUUCUAUACAUGUACAUGACAGACCCCCCCCACUUUAAUGCGUGGCCUCCAACGCGCGUAAUCCAUUCAGGAGGGGGUCCCGGACCUGAUGUCCAUAAGCAAUUUAAAUUUCCAUUGUCUCUCAUCUCUUGUGGGGCUGGUCAGAGGACGUGCACUCAUGAUAUACACUCUGAGGUUCAGGUGUGGGGUGGUCUCUUCCACACUGCCGAGAGAUGAUGUGAUAUCCCUGGCCUGGCUUUAGUGUGGAGCCAUGGCUACUGCAAAGCCAGUGGGGGCAACGAAGUUCAAGGCGGAGCCUGAGGGAGAAGCGAUGUUCACCAUGAAGCUAGAGGGGGGAGUGAUGAUGGAUGAUCCACAAUAUUAAUCAUACCUAUAAAUGGAUAGGUGUCAUUACUUAAAUAAAAGAAAAUUGUAACCUGAAGCCAAUAUGAAGGCAUGGUGAGCAGAAAAGCAUCUCAGAAUGCAAAACCCAUCAAACCUGGCAGCAGAUGGGAUACAAGGAUACAAGAAGACCACACUGAUAAAUCUGAGGCUACUGUGAGCACAGGUUCACCAAAACUAACCAUUUGAGGAUUGGGAUAACACUGUCUGACCUUUUUACAAUCGUCAAAUGCCUAGUUCCAUUAAGCCUGUGCCCACUGCAACCCCAGAUUCUUGUUUUUGGCUGACAGGAGUGGAGCCUGAUGUGGUCUUCUGCUGUUGUACCCAAUCUGCCUCAACGUUCAAUGUGUUGUGGCUCCCGAGAUGCUCAGCACAGUUUUAAAAAGUGGUUGUUAUCAGUUACUGUAGCCUUCUUGUCAGCUCUAACCAGUCUGGCCAUUCUCCACUGACCUGUGUAAUCAACAUGGUAUUUCUGCCUGUAGAACUGCCACUCACUGGAAAGUUUUUUUUUUUUGCUUCUCACACUAUUCUGUGUAAGCUCUAGCGGCUGUUGUGUGUGAAACUCCCAGGAGAUCGGCAGUUUCUGAAAUACUCAAAUCAGCCCCUCUGGCACCAACAGCCAUGCCACAGUCAAAGUCACUGAUAUGAUAAAUAAAGUGGUCUGUAAAUGUAUGUAUAACAUACAAUCAAUAUCAAUGAAACAGAUUUGCUAAAGAUAAAUGUUAACCUUUAAAUAAAGACAUUUUUGGAUGGCACACUUCUUUACAGUAAUUCCAAGCUUACUGAUUUUUUUUGACUGCCUAUGAAGACUGUCCAUCCAAAAAAUAACAUAAUUAUGCUAUUUGAUACACUGUUAUGGAUUCACAUAGUUUAUUUGGGAUGUCUUAAUUUCAUUAACUUUUUGUUAUUUUCUGUGUGGCACUUUCUCAUUGCAUGAGGAGACAUUCUGCCACUCUCCUCUUUUCUCCUCCUAGAAGUUAAUGACAGUGCCCUUCCUGUUGGCUAAGAGAUGAAAGAGUCUGACAAACCAACAGGAUGUCCAGCAUGAAAGACAGGGCAUUGUCAGUCUCUUUGUUAAAACAAAAAGAGGCAAAAAAAACAAAACAUUCUGUGUGGUUUCUUGAACCCUAUAUUGUCUCAGCCUAGUACUCACUUAUUCACCCUUUAUUGUCUCAGCUUAGUACUCACUUAUUCACCCUUUAUUGUCUCAGCUUAGUAUUCACUUCUGGCCUUCUUCACACUAUUCAUCAAGAAAACUCCCUGGAUCAAACAAUGUCAGCAGAAUGGAAAUGAAGUUUAAGCAAAUUAACCAGUGAGGAAACAAUGACACAGGCUUUCUGUCCAUUAUCCAACACUAGAUUCAGAUCAGAUGAAAGUUUUCAGGAGCUGUAGCUGGUAAGAUAAAACAAACUUGUUAAUAUAUUGCAAAGCUGGCUUCUUGGGAAAAAAAAAGGUUCCAUCUAGCACCCUAAAGUGUUCUUUAGUUUGUCCCUCCGGGAGAAGCCUUAAGCAUCAUAUGUAGCGCAAAGAUUUCUCUAAAGGCUUCAGUUAGAACCUCACUGAAAAGCAAGAAUUACUAAGCAUCCAAAGAGGAACCCUUAAUAAUCAAAUGUUAUUGUACAGAUCACAUGGUGAUCUAGUUUUAUUUAGCAUAUUUACUCAUUCCCUCUGAAAAUAAUUCCUGGCUACAAAACUGAUAUGCAUUACAUGACAACUGUAAACUUGACCACCAAUAAGCUAAUCCCGAAUGUUUAUCACAGAGAAGCACGCCAAUCUUGACUUAGCCUGAAGUAGCAGGGUUGCUAGGUUUGUGGUUCCCCCAGCAAGUUUGAUAAGGUAUAAAAUUAUGAGGAUGCCAAAAUCUGCCAUAGAAAUUCAGCUAGUUUGGGAUCUGGUGAUUGUGAGGGCAUAUGCUUAACAUAAUUUUCAUACUUAUCAAACCAUUCAGUACCCUCUAUGUACCCUCUAAGCAGACAAGUGUACAAAAGCACGGCAGCAAACUGCCCCCACAGGAUAGCAGUUUGUCCUUUAAUUUGACACAUGUCUGUAUAGUAAGCCUGUCUUUAAAUAUCUGGCAGCCUAAUGACAGAGACAGGCACAUUUGAGAGAGGAGAGGCUGAGUGAGUGGUGCAUUUGAUGACAUGCCAUUGAUAUCUACAGUAGUGUCCAUCCAUAUAUUCACGAUUCCCAUGAUGAUUCUCUAGUAAAGUCAAAAUACUUGUUUGCGAGUCACAGUACUAACUAUGUUGAGGAGGGAGUUGAUACAGGUCAAUCAGAGAGUAUGAGGAAGAGCAAAGGGAAAAAAGUGAGUAAAAUUCACUGAAAUGACAAGCACAGAUUUUCUAUUGGUGCAAACCAUUGUGUUGCCCACAUAGAUUGCAGUAAAUUUGGAGAAUCUGUUGUCUGCAAGUCUGACAAAACCCACCCUGUGGUGUUUCAAUUUCUCUCUACCAUGCCAGGUAAUGUAAUGUAGCACUAUAAGAAGUGGAGUUACAGUUACCACCAAGGUGAUUAUUUUCCAAUAAGAGCAAUUUGGCAUUUUUUUUUUAAAAGUAUAAUAUUUCAUACAUUUUAUCGAUACAUAAUAAUAUUUAAUGUUGUGGAACAUCUGUGAACCAAGUUCAUGAUAUCGCUUAUGUUAUAACAGUUGUUUCUCAAUCACUUGAAGAUUUUUAAAGACAACAAUGCAGCCUUGUCAUGGUACUAACAAACUGCAAAAUGUGAAGACUUUCCUCUGGAGGAAAACAUACAGGAACUAUGUAUAUCAAAUUGCUGAUGUAGUCUCCUUCUAUAUUUUUUUUUAAAAACAAACCUGUCCUUGCAGAAAUAUUCAUAAUAGCAAAGAUUACACAUUUUUGUUACAUAACAACACGUUUUAAUAAAAUUCACCUUAUAUAUCCUUUGAGCAGGUCAUAACAAAACCUAACCUAUGAUUUGCCUUGAGGCUAGCACUACUGUCAGAACUUUAUUUAUAGGAAACACCUUCUGACCAAUCAGAAUAAUUAACAGCAGUGCUGAGAUGUCCAUUGUGCAGGUUUAAAUGUACUGUAAGAUCACAAACGAUAUUUGGAUUUAGAAAUGCUCCUGUUUUUUUGGAGCUUACAGUCAAACAAAUCAAGAAAACAGUAAUUUGAUUCUUCUUCUUCAACUCUGGGUUUUCAUCUUGGUGGUAACAUGACCCAGAGAUACCUUGCUACAGUUAUCUAAUAUUUACAUGCUUUGCCUGACUUAUUCUGUGUCAGUUAGAGGGUAACAUUCUGAAAGAAACAGUUCUAUGGCUGGGAAUGUAAUUGGGGAUUAUGAAACAACUCAAAAAGACCCUAAACAUUGACUUCUUUAGCCAAAAACCUUUGAGUCAAUUAUGUGCGGCAUUCAUGCAGGAAGUGAAACACUCACAAGGGCAGGGUCAACAAGGCCACCGGGGGGACGGGUGGAUGGGGGACGGGGUGUGAAUCACCUCGUACACAUCAUUAUAUCAACAAGAACACAGAAUCUGUUCAUUCUGCAGUCCAUUACUGGUAAAGUAAUGGGUUCUUCAAACACACACACACACACACACACACACACACACACACACACACACACACACACACACACACACAAUGCUCAGUAUUCCACCCUGCCUGCUGAUAAAGAAGCAUUCUCUUCUCUCUGAACUAGGAAUGAGGGAUUAAAUAAAGUGUCAAACAGAGAGAAGCGAGCCCACACAUUUGACAAAUGUUGCAUAUAAAGGCAAGUCAGAGUGCGGGAGGUUUUGUUUUUGAAGUGGCUGGUGGGAGAACCGAUUAGGUCACUAGGGGUGAAUGUGUUUGUGUGUGUGAGACAGAAAACGGCAGACGCAGGGAGUGACAUAAAAUAAAAAUGUGAGAAAGAAAAGACAUCAAGAGUUACAUGAGACGAGAGGAUUUAGGGAGCCAUGCGAUAAAUAUCAGCAGAGAAGUAGAUAAAGAGAUGCAGAGAUCAACAAAAAUGCUAGCAUGACUGUCUGUGUGUACCUCCAGGAGAAAAUGGGAUAAAAUACUUCCUGUCACCCAGAUGUGAUAAAUUCAUGCAGAAAUUCAAGUCUAUAUUAAUAGAAGCCUUUCUUCUUCCUAGACAUGUCUUUUACCAUGGAGUCAACCAUGGGUUUUUAUAUGAUACUGAAUUUGGUAUUGGUUUGUUUUAGUUGUGAGCCAUUCAGAUAAAUCCAGGCCCGAUCCUAAUUACUCUGGAAACAUCUGAAGAGCAGACAUGUUGGCAACCAGUCAAGCAGAACUUGAUUUAACUUAGAGUACAGUUAACUGUAAAAGUCUUAAUGAACUGGGUGAUACGCUACAUUUAGCAAGGAUCGUAGUUUGUUAUAUUUUGAAUUUUCACUGUCUAUUGUACUUUGUGUGAAAACUGGAGUUUAUUCAUUUCUAACAUUUACAGUUUAUAAUAAAAACAGAUUAAAACAGACUCUGUGUGUGUCUGCCUGCCCAAAUCAUUCUAAUACAAACAAUACCAAUUCACUCACUGGAUCAUGACAUUGGGCCUCGUAAAACGCCUCAUGUUAACUCAUCUCCACUAUACUGAUAGAUAUCGCAUUUCGUCUCUUCACUAAAUCAACAUUCCUAAGGGCCUCACUACUUUUACAACCCGAGCUGCACAUUUCUGUCCCAUUUGCUCCCAUUUGUGCUUCUCUCAUAGCUUUUUAUUGAGUGUAGCCUGGAGAGCGAGACGUUCUUCACACACAUCAUUUAUCAAUAGUGCCACCCCAUUCCUGCAGAGUUACAGUCCUUUAGGGCCAAAGACAUAAGGUUUUAUUUGUGGGUACCUUCCUGAACUUCUGUUCUAAUCCAUCUCUUUAAGACCUCUUCCCUACAACAGGGAAAAUGAAAAUAGAUAAUCAUGAAGAUAAACAAUCUUAAUGUAGGCUGUUAACCGCAGCGUGUGCCAACACCAAUAUAAACGCUGAAGAUGUUGAUCUCUUUCUGUGGCAGGUGUGGAGGUGCCAAGCCAAGAGUCCCAGACGGGAAGCAGCAGACACGGUGUCGUCCAGUUGUCCAAGUGCAUAUCAUCUUCUAAUGAGCCUGACAGAUGCUCUUGGCCUUCUAACAGACCGCAAGCCAAACUGUCCCUAUGCUGGCAUUUACGUGUUUAUCAUUGGUGGAUGUUCAUCAGCAAAUGUUGUACAACAUAAUCAAGCCUAAAAAAUGUUGUCUAGACAUGUGUGGUUUCUUAAGAAACAUACCUGUGGCAUCAUGUAUGCUUUGCAGCUUUUAAAAAAUUUCUUAACAGUCAAGAGCAAAAGGUUUGAAAGAAUCAUAAGGCUGACAUAUACAUGAACAGGUCAGUGUAUCCCUAUGACCAGGAUUUCAACUUCCUGUCCAGACUUCAGCAAUCUGCUGUUCUACACAUCCAGCUGUCCAGAGCUUUUUCUGUGUCCCACAACAUGCACAGCGGCUUUUACAUCCAGGAAGCUCCACUAUGCUCCUGCAGGUCUAGAGUUGCAGCAAAGUUUGGUGAUUUUCUGUCCUACCUCACCUGAUCACUUAAAGGUGUGUUAUAUGACAUGAAUAGUCACAAACAUGCCAGUGUACGGCAGUAUUUAAUAUUUGCCAUAGGGUAUAAUCAUGAAAAUCAUCCAUCCAUCCAUCGUCCAUACUGCUUAUCCUACACAGUGUCACGGGGGAGCCUGGAACCUGUCCCAGGGAACUCGGGGCACAAGGCGGGAGACACCCCGGACAGGGAACCAACCCAUCGCAGGGCAGAAAUCAUGAAAAUCAAGUCAAUUUUUUUUUUUACUGAGUUUUAUUUCUACAGUGCAUUUAACAAUAGACCUUGUCACAAAGCAGCUUUACAAAGAUCCUAAUGGAGAUUUAGAUCCCUAAUGAGCAAGCCAGAGUUGACAGUGGCAAGGAAAAACUCCAUGAGACAACAUGAGGAAGAAGCCUUGAGAAAUAUCAGACUGGGAAGGAACAAAUCCACUUCUGGGUGACACCGGAUAGUGAGAUUAUAAAUCCACAACUGUAUAUUAUAAUGUCAAACAGUACUAAGUGAAAAUCAAGGAUUUGGCUCAAGAAUUGUUGUAUAUUCUACUACACAGUUUCCCAAGCCUGGUCCUUGACUACCCCAUGGCGUGCGCAUUUUAGUGUUUUCCCUGUUUUAACAUACCCUCUUCAACUCAGGAAGGGCUGACAAUCAGCUCAUCAGUUCAGUCAGGUGUCUUGGGAGCAGGGAAAGCACAAACAUGUGCAGGACAAGUGGACCAGAGCUGGGAAUCGGUAGCAGGUUGGCCAUCAUUGAUGGGUUUAAUAGCUGGCUGAUCAGUUUAGUUGUAGUAGAUAUGUUAGAACAGGAACAACUCGACUCAUACAACUCGACGCUUGCUGAUUUUGUUUGCUUUACCACUCAGAGCCACAUGCACCAACAGUGUCUUGAGAAACAGAAGCCAGGCAUGACGUGUUUAUUUAUCAGCUAAUAAAUGCAUACCAGAUGAUGAGCACUUGAGUCAAAUGCAGAGAGCAUAAACAAAGUGGAAAGCACUAAGGAAAAUAGGCUAAUCAAGCUUGUAUUUGUGUGUGUGUGUGUGUGUGUGUGUGUGUGUGUGUGUGUGUGUGUGUACGUGUGGAUGGAAAUAAAACAAACACAGCUGCCCACAAAAACUCUCACACCCAGCUCUUUCGCCUUUUCCGCACAGCACCUUUUCCAUUUCCACGCGUGCUAUUUCCGAGCGAGCGGAUGCCAAUCGUUUGCUGUCAUCACUAAUUCGUUUUUGGCCGGAGGUCGCACUAAACGUAGCUGUCCGUUAGAUCGGUGCACCUAGCUUGCCUUUAUGUGUGAGGAGUGUCCAGAAUAAUAGAUAACUAACGCAACAGGGUAAGAAGCGCGCGCGUGACCUGAACUUCAACCAAACCGCACGCGCCACUAGUGCAAACAUCACCGCUGUUCAGUUAUUCUCGUUAUUUCUGAACAGUUACUUCAGUUGAUGAAAUGCAUAACUUACCUUAAACAGCAACAAAGACCACAGGAAGAGACGUGCCGCCGAUGCGCUCAUGCUAGCUCCGGCAGCUUCACCUCUGUCAGUUGAAUCUGCGCGGGUUGAACGCACUGCGUCUAAUGGACUAUGCGAGCGCGUGGAGUCUCGCGGCUUUUAUUGACUCCCACCUUAUUGGAAAAGCAGCUUCUGACGACACCACGUUUCAUAUUUACUUCCCACUAGUAGUGCACGGGUAGCACGUUGUUACUAACUUUAUGUCAGUGAGGGGCUCUCCUGCCCCUACAGUACACACUCUUAAAGCAACACACUCAGAAGCUUUGACACUGUUCUGGUCAGGGCAUGCAACAUGAUAAUGAGGUGUUCCGUGCCGUGAUGCUACCACGCUGUCAACUCUAUUUAAACCCCUAUCUGUCAUUUUUUGGCUCUCUUAGUCUUUAAUUCCUGACAUGAACUUACAAGUGGUGCAUAUUUCAACCUGCCCACUGGAUCAUCUCUCUUCACUCAGUGCUGCUGAUGAAGAGCAGACUUUUUUGUGUGUGUAUGUGAACUACUGUUUUCCUUCAUGCACCUUUAGUUGUGGUAGGUCACUAAAUCAAAUGCACAUCACAUUCCAGCACCAGACAGAGUAAAACAAUCUGAAUUAGAAAAUCACA
ensembl:lncRNA